AUCCAGCUGACAAGUCGUGAAUAAGACGAAAAGUGCGUCCUGGAU
rnacentral:hammerhead_ribozyme from 1 species